GAUAGUUAGUGUAAAUAAUGAGACAAUAACAGCAGAGCACAGAGAUACUUCCUGGAGGUUUAAUGCCUAGCCAGGAGGAACCAAUGCCCUGAACUGAUCUUGGUCAGUUAUUAAACGUCUUACUAUUGUCUAUAAAUAGACCAUUGUUGCUCUCGUUGUAUAACAAAAACAGAACAUUCGGAGCCCUUCGGCACAUGCCUUUGUUUCUGGGUCACAAUUACCACGUACAUCACGGACAAUAAGCGCUCACAACACUUCAGCCCUGAGAGAUUGGGAUCACUUCUCAAAAAUCCAUCGUUUCACAUCAGAAUUCCUCACUGUCUCACAAACCUCUCAUUCUGAAUGACCUGCUGCUUCCCUGGAAACAGGAACAAAGGGGCCUGAAGGAAGGGCUUUGUCCCAAGGUCCCAUUUCUGUCCCUCUGAGUAAUGUUACUGCAUUGGGGUCACCUGGAAUCACAGAGUUAUCUGGGUAUGUGGCUACCCCUGAGCUGGGUCCUGUGCUCCGGGAAAUGGGGAUGGGUAGAACGAUAGCAGAUGGGUCUAACAAAAGAAACAUCGGCAACGAUCUGAGGAGGAACGGUAAUCAAGUAAAUCUAACAAAAUCAAACACAACGAGAGACCACAAGAGUAUCCAAGGACAAUAUCUAUGCUAUGAUACUUGGAGUAUAAUGAGCACUGGAAGCAGACCCCAGGAAGUACAUCCCAGCCAUCUUGCAGCAACCUCAGAAACCAAUUUCUGGUGGUUGUGCAUAGAAUAUGUAAUCUCAAUUUGUGAUACAAAUCCCAACUCAUGUAGGAGAAGUACCCCAUCAAGAAAACUAGUCCAACUAGCCUGGACUGGAGUGCUGCUCAUGCUGAAUAACCUCUCCAACCUACAGAACACGCACCAGAGUUGAGAACAGACCAGAGAAAUGCAUUAGGUAUUUUUCAGAUUAAUAGACAGGCUAGAAGCAGAAUUUCACAAGUUGAAGGUACUUCUACAUGUGCCUUGAGCAAGGUUCAAUACACACUGGCUGCAAGACAAGUUAAGUUUCUGCCUAUGAAUUCUUGUCAGAAAUACAGGAUGUGCAAGGUUAGAUUUCACACCAUCUAACUCAGUAAGAUUUAAAUUCAAAUAUAGAUGUUCUCACUAGACAAAGUUCAGUUUACUGUUGAAUGUU